UGGGGAAUCUUGCACAAUGGGCGAAAGCCUGAUGCAGCAACGCCGCGUGCGGGAAGACAGCCCUAGGGUUGUAAACCGCUUUCAGCAGGGAAGAAACUGACGGUACCUGCAGAAGAAGAUGCGGCCAACUACGUGCCAGCAGCCGCGGUGACACGUAGGCAUCAAGCGUUAUCCGGAUUUAUUGGGCGUAAAGAGCUCGUAGGCGGUUCGGUAAGUCGGGUGUGAAAACUCUGGGCUCAACCCAGAGAGGCCACUCGAUACUGCUGUGACUAGAGUGCGGUAGGGGAGCGGGGAAUUCCUGGUGUAGCGGUGAAAUGCGCAGAUAUCAGGAGGAACACCAGUGGCGAAGGCGCCGCUCUGGGCCGUAACUGACGCUGAGGAGCGAAAGCAUGGGUAGCAAACAGGAUUAGAUACCCUGGUAGUCCACACCGUAAACGAUGAAUGCCAGUCGUCGGGUAGCAUGCUAUUCGGUGA
rnacentral:rRNA from 1 species